AUGAAACACGAGACUCGGGGACUUAAUGCAACCAGGUCGAGCUCAGAGCAGAGUCAAAGCCUGCCCUGCGGACCCCGAAGCCUGUGCCUCUGUCCUAACGCUGUGUUUCCUGAGCAAAGUCCGGACAAUUCACUCUUCCACUUUCUUUCCUCAUGCAGUCGAACAAAGACCUUCUUGGAAAAGGUGAGUUUGCGCUAUUGUAUGACGGCCCUGGGUGUCAGCGCCAUCCCCGACACUGUGUCUGUUUCCUGGACUGGCUUUCUUUCCCGGCGAUAUUUUUGUGGUUUGGCUUAGAAGAAACCUACACACAGGUGGGGAUCACAGGCGAGGGGCUUCCCAGGUGGUAGCAGACCUGGCCUGGGGUCAGGGAAGUUGGACCAGAGAGGGAACAGAAUGAGGAGUCCAGGCGGCAGCAGGGCCUGCUGAUCACCCUGACUGUGGGUGAUAUAAGAGCCCAGUGAAGUCCACAGCACCCCAGGGCAGGGGGCUGGGGGUGGCAGAGGGGCGAGGACCUUGGCACAUGGAGAUGACCUUGCAGAGCUGAGGGCAGAGGCCAUCCAGGUGUGCAAUGAGCAUGGCUACAACGAAGUUGUCAGGAGGGAGAGGCCUACAGGCUGCCCUGUACCCUGGCCAAUGUGAGUCUUCUGUGCCAACAGAAAAGUGCAUGGGUUUCCCCAUAGCAGCAUGGAUCAUAAUAGCUAAUCUUGGAAGCAGCCUACAUGUUCAUCAGCAGAGGAAUGGAUAAAGAAAAUGUGGUAUUUAUACACGGUGGAGUAUUGCUCUGCCACAAAGAAGGAUAAGCUUGAGUCAUUUGUAGGAAAAUGGGUGAACCUCCAGAUCCUAAUGUUAGGUGAGAUGAAUCAGACACAUAGCUUAAAUAUUGCACCGUUUCUCUGAUAUGAGAAACCCACAGUAUAAAGAGAGAGCAAAGUAAAAGAUAGAUAACAGGGAGGCAGAUCUUUUUCUUUUGCAAAUGGAAAGGGGACCAAGAGAUGGAGGCAGGGGGAAGGGCAGGGGAAGGGGCCGACAGAGCAUUAAGAUGUGUUCGUGCACAUACCGACCCCCCACCAGGAGUGUGACUAUUACAUACCGCAACUGUGGACUAAUAAAGAGAAAAAGAGGCAAAUCUCUGAGAAAUAAACAGUGGCAUCUGGAAAAGCAGUAGGAGGGAGGAGAAAGUCUCAAGGACAGCACUCCAAAUGAAAGGAAACUGCGGGACGCUCAGGAUGGUGGCCUGGCCCCCUCUGGGGCAGAUUCCUGAGCCAUCACAGCCUGGUCGGGGUGGCCGGUGGUGAAGGCUGCCCUGCCCUGGCAUGGUGGGAACAGGGUCCCAGGCGGACGGUCCCUUCCUGUCGGCCUGACUACCCUUCUGGUUAGGAGCAAAACAUUAUGGGUCAAGGAAAACACAGAGCUUAGAGAGAAGGAAUUUAGUGAAGGUAGAGAAUGGAUUCCACCGCGAACGUCAGUGUUCU
rnacentral:lncRNA from 1 species